UACGGGGGGGGCAAGCGUUGUUCGGAAUUACUGGGCGUAAAGGGUUCGUAGGUGGCUUGCUAAGUCAGACGUGAAAUCCCUCAGCUUAACUGGGGAACUGCGUCUGAUACUGGCGAGCUUGAGUGCAGGAGAGGAACGCGGAAUUCCAGGUGUAGCGGUGAAAUGCGUAGAUAUCAGGAGGAACACCUAUGGCGAAGGCAGCUCGCUGGGCCGAUACUGACGCUGAGGAGCGAAAGCGUGGGGAGCGAACAGG
rnacentral:rRNA from 1 species